GUCGAACGGUAACAGGUCUUCGGACGCUGACGAGUGGCGAACGGGUGAGUAAUACAUCGGAACGUGCCCAGUCGUGGGGGAUAACUACUCGAAAGAGUAGCUAAUACCGCAUACGAUCUGAGGAUGAAAGCGGGGGACCUUCGGGCCUCGCGCGAUUGGAGCGGCCGAUGGCAGAUUAGGUAGUUGGUGGGAUAAAAGCUUACCAAGCCGACGAUCUGUAGCUGGUCUGAGAGGACGACCAGCCACACUGGGACUGAGACACGGCCCAGACUCCUACGGGAGGCAGCAGUGGGGAAUUUUGGACAAUGGGCGAAAGCCUGAUCCAGCAAUGCCGCGUGCAGGAUGAAGGCCUUCGGGUUGUAAACUGCUUUUGUACGGAACGAAAAAGCUUCUCCUAAUACGAGAGGCCCAUGACGGUACCGUAAGAAUAAGCACCGGCUAACUACGUGCCAGCAGCCGCGGUAAUACGUAUGCGAG
rnacentral:rRNA from 1 species